GACGAACGCUGGCGGCGUGCUUAACACAUGCAAGUCGAGCGAGGCCUCCUCCUUCGGGAGGGGUGUCCUAGCGGCGAACGGGUGAGUAACACGUGGGCAACCUGCCCCUAGCACUGGGAUAACCCCGGGAAACCGGGGCUAAUACCGGAUACGACCUCAUGAGGCAUCUCGCGAGGUGGAAAGGGUUACUGGCUAGGGAUGGGCCCGCGGCCUAUCAGCUUGUUGGUGGGGUAAUGGCCUACCAAGGCGACGACGGGUAGCCGGCCUGAGAGGGCGACCGGCCACACUGGGACUGAGACACGGCCCAGACUCCUACGGGAGGCAGCAGUGGGGAAUAUUGCACAAUGGGCGAAAGCCUGAUGCAGCGACGCCGCGUGAGGGAUGACGGCCUUCGGGUUGUAAACCUCUUUCAGCAGGGACGAAGCGAAAGUGACGGUACCUGCAGAAGAAGCACCGGCUAACUACGUGCCAGCAGCCGCGGUAACAC
rnacentral:rRNA from 1 species